rnacentral:rRNA from 1 species
GAUGAACGCUGGCGGCGUGCCUAAUACAUGCAAGUCGAGCGAACAGACGAGGAGCUUGCUCCUCUGAUGUUAGCGGCGGACGGGUGAGUAACACGUGGAUAACAUACCUAUAAGACUGGGAUAACUUCGGGAAACCGGAGCUAAUACCGGAUAACAUGUUGAACCGCAUGGUUCAACAGUGAAAGACGGUCUUGCUGUCACUUAUAGAUGGAUCCGCGCCGCAUUAGCUAGUUGGUAAGGUAACGGCUUACCAAGGCAACGAUGCGUAGCCGACCUGAGAGGGUGAUCGGCCACACUGGAACUGAGACACGGUCCAGACUCCUACGGGAGGCAGCAGUAGGGAAUCUUCCGCAAUGGGCGAAAGCCUGACGGAGCAACGCCGCGUGAGUGAAGAAGGUCUUCGGAUCGUAAAACUCUGUUAUUAGGGAAGAACAAAUGUGUAAGUAACUAUGCACGUCUUGACGGUACCUAAUCAGAAAGCCACGGCUAACUACGUG